CUUACACGCACGCGGGGCGGGGCCGUUGGGCCGCGCGGGGCGGGGCCGGCGCCGCUGUGGGAGCGGACGGGGCCGGUGGCGGCGCCGCAGGGCGGUGUGUGAGGCCAUGGCCCGGCGGCGAUCCGCGCUGCCCGCCCCUGGAUCGGGCAGGAUUAGUCCCGCGGCCCGGGCAGCCUCAGCUGCAGGGUACUGAAAGAACUUGUAAUAAAUGUGACAGAUGUGGAGAAGAAGUGUAGAAAUAAAGAAAAAGUGAAAUAAGGGGGCCCAAAAUGAAUGCAGGAAAACAGGAGAAAAAAAAAUACCACGAAAGAAGAACAGAAAGCACAGACACCCCAACCAGCAAAAAUAAAUAUCGACAAAUAGCAGGAAGAAACAGCGAUUAUUAAGACAUUUCAUGCAACAGUGAAGGUAAUAUCCACUGGGGGGAGGAGGAAACGCUGAGUGAUCUUGAGUUAUGAAAGGACAGCCCAGAACUGAGCGAUGUCAUGAACUGACGUCUUCAUCCUAUUCAAGUAAGUUUAAAUCUUUGAAAUUUUAUCUUUCUAUGAGAGGAGGAGGAAAUUCAGAAACUUUGCUUCAGUGUUUUCAGGCUUAAGAUUGAUGCACACUUUUACACACUUUUUUUGGAGUAUAGUAUUGUUCAAGCUAAUAAUUAAUAAUAAUUAGCAUUAGAAGUAUCACAGUAAUGAACAAGUAACAGUGUUUGUUACAAACACCUACACCAGGUAAAAAGAGAACUAAUUAUGUCCAUCAGAUUGAGUUACUACUAUUUUGAUUCAUGCAGGACAAUGUUUAUCAUCAAAACUGUGCAGAAAUACUCCACAAUAUUGUCACCAAUUCAGAGUUGCUUGUAGCAUCAUUUGUAUUUCCUUCCUCCUUAAUUAUGGCUUCUUGGACUCCACUCUCUUCUCAGUGGAGUCAAUAGAAACAGCAGGAGCAGAAUUCAGGCCCUCUGAAAAUCAUCACCAACUUCUAUGAGGAAAUGUAAAUUGAGGUAGUGGCGGUUUUGUGCCUUUUCAACUGAGCAAGCGCCUUGGCAUAACACAAAUAAUGCAUAUCCUUAAAACUAUUCUUUAAGGUCUGCAUUUGUCACCCUCUAUGGAAGGGUAUUAGUGCUUCUUUCUGUCAUAUUUUACACGCUCAUACCUUCAGCAAGAGCAUAGAGACUCUCUUGUCUCUGAACAUACUUCUCAUAAAACACGGAGAACUACACAGAGGUAAAAAUCUGUUUCUCUUGCUAGUUUUUUCAUUUUCUAGAAACUUAAACUACAUUUGUACAGAAUCAAGAAUUCCUUAAAAGAAAGGAAAGGCACCGUGAUGGUUGUUUUUUGUUUGUUUGUUUUCAAAAUAUUGGGAAAUUCUUAACUGACAAUUAUGGCUAUAACAACAACAAAAAUGAAAAUGUAUCUUGCUAUCUUCAGAAGUCGGAUACAGCACUGAGUCUCUAAAAUUGAGGAACUUGUUGUUCCUAAAACAAUCCCUCCACACUGUCGUUGAAGCAGAAUAUGGAAUUUCUCUCUUUUUUCAGCGUGCACCAGAAGCUGCCCUCAGAUCUCCAGGGUUGUCUGUUCUGGACUUGAAGGGUUUGAAACCUAGGAGAAAGCAAAACAGCCAAGUGAGUCAGAACGUCUGUCACUGUGUUGUAAAACUGAUGGGUUUUUACCACCGUUGACUACUCAUAACGUGGGACAUCUGUUUGGUAAAUGGGACCCAAAGCAGUCCCAUACGAAGGCCUGAGCUCAGGGCAGUAUUUGCAUGACGCAGUCAGCAGCAGCAGGGCCGCUGCUGUGCGUUAAACCCACGAGUCCCUCGCUGGGUCCAGGCCAAUGCACUGACGUGAAUUUACAUGCUGUGCUGUUGCGAAGCCUGUACACGUCACAUCAAUUGUGCUAUCGCUGAGCGCUUCCAGUCUUCAUUCUCUGUCAAGUCUAUGGCUUCCCUCUGCACAGGCUGGCACAGCAUGUUGUGCCUAUAACACUGUCUUUGGAUUUGUCAUCUGUGCAUUGAUUAAGAUACAUAUGCCAGAGAACUAAGCUGUUAAAUAGAUUUUUGGGCAAGUUCAGCUGCGAGGAAUUUUACAAGUGUCAGCUCAGAAUUUCCUUUGAACUGCAUCAGCCAUAAAUAUGGAUUACUCCUGUAGGUCCUGCACAUAGAGAAUGGAAUCUGCUUUAAAGGUUCAGCAGCAAAAUAUGAGCAUAGUUAUUUCCCAGCUUGAUAAAUGAGUCACUUUAGUAUAGACGUUUUGAUCACGUGACUUAGUCAAAGUGCAGAAAAAAAAAUCCAUCCUUUCUGCUUGAAACUUUUGCCAUUAUAUAAAUAUAUACAUACAUGUAUGUCUACAUAAUAUACACAUACAAAAUACUGCAAAUUGUGACAGUUUCUUUAGCUCUUCUUCUUUUAAUAGCAAAGCAGCAAACAAUGGGAUAAUCCAAUUUCAUUGCUAAAAUCUAAAGUGAAUUUAUUGCUAUAAAUAUAACUGCUAUCUGAAAAUAUUAAUUUAUGAAUAUUACUGAGUGGGUGACCACUCAGUGCUUAAUAGGAACUAGCAAUUAAUGUAUGUAAAUCAACUCAGGCAGUAGCAUCUCAAUUGCUGUUCUGUGUAGAGGAAUAGCUAAUUUGCAGGAAUACAUGUUUCCAAGCCCAGAUUUUAAAAAGUCACGUUUUCAGCUGCUGAAAACCUCAAUAUCAAUAAUAUUUGUUGUGCAUUUUAUGAUUAUUCUUAAUGCCCUUGCAAACACAUGUGAUAAAAUGCUAACAAACCAUCAUCCAUUACUUAAUUAUGUUUAUCUAGAUGGAUAAAGUUGGGGUGGGGGCAGCAUGUGGUAAAAAAUAUUGUUUCCCAUUUGGCAAACACAGACUGAAUUUACAGCUUAAUUAUUCCUUGUAGUGCUGUAGAGAGAUUUUUGUGUUAAUCAUACUCAGGGUUCAGAGUUUAUUUAAAUAAAAAGUUGUGGAUUUUUGUUUUUGGUAGCGAGGUUUAAAAAGUAUGUUGACUCCCAAUUAAAUCAACUUCCCCUUCAGUAGGGGAUUUAAAUGCUUGUGAGGCGUCAGUGGGAGCUACACAGGGAGCUUUGCUGACAGUGAUGAAACACCUGCUAUAAGGCAAGACAAAUAUCUUGGAAAAUAAUGUUAUAGUUGCUUUCAGAAACUUUGCCUACGGAAAAUAUCAGAAUCAUUAAUCUUAAUUAAUAAAAAUACCUCUAUCGUUCAGCAACCAAGUGCAAGAAUAAUAGAGGUCACUUCUGGAAACCUUUGUUCAUGAGAGUAUCCCACUAAGUUCCAAAGGAUCGCUUGUGUGCACAAUGAUGUCCACGUGAUUAAAAACUGCAGUUUAUCUCUAGAUGUGCUAUUCAAUGCUCCAUGACAUCUUUUUAGUUUGGAAACUUUAAAUAGUAUUUUUUCAAAGCCAAAUCCGUGCCAACCACCACAGGACCACCAGACAUUAAAAACCAAAUCAGAAACUGCAUCUUGUAACAGAGCUGACUCUUCUUGCAAAGGUAGCCUAGGAAGUGCCUACUGAGAAAAAUCAUCCACUAAUCUUCAUAGUAUAUUCUUCAGCAGUCACUGGGCACAAGUAUUCAUUGCGGGGAAUAAUUUAUAUUAAAACCAGUCACACUGAACUUGUACAGUAUAACCCAUGAAAAUGUCUCCUUCUAAUGCUGGAGUUUACCAUCUUCAGAGUCGCAAGGUGGCUUUGUACAUCAGUAGUUAGCUGCAUUUGAAAUGGACAGGUUGCAAAAACAUGUUUGGCAUAUCUGUCUUGGCUCUAGCCAGCUAUCAUUUAACUUCUGUAUUAAGUAGCUAAUAAAUUGCUUUCCGCUAAGUAUUUAGAAGUAUAUACUAUGAAGAGUUACUACAUUCCAUUCUUCCCAGAGUACCUUCCAAACUUGUCCCAAAGCCUGCCUUUGUUGCAUUAACACAAAACCCCCACAGGAACGUUUUCAAGGGUGUUUGAAUUCUGAACAAGUGCUAAUGAAAUAUUUUCCUGAUUUUUUUUUUCCUGAUACAGGAAUACGUUGUAGAUUGUUAAGCACAGGUAAGAAAAACAAAAAAAAGAUACUUCACUUACAAGGGUUGAAAAUCUGUUCAGUGAAGAUACAGCAUAAGUAGAAAAACUUAAUCCAAAACCCCAUACACAUAUAUUGCUAAGAUGCCACUUAUCAGCCUCAGUAAAAUGCUGAAUUAAUCAUUUUUGCAUAGAUUUGAACCUAUACUACCAGAUCAUUUACGUAAACUUAUAAAUUUACUACUUGACUAUUUGCCUGCCAUUUUCUGGACAUUGGUGUAGUUCUUGGGUAGCCUUUUAUAAAAUGUUAGUUACCUGUAUUAGUAGUUCUUGAAGACAUCUUUGUGUUGGAACAAAUUAAACUUUAAGAAAAAGAGCUGAAAAAGCUUUUGGUUUCUUCUUCAAAAAUAAUCUGUAAGAAACAGAGCAAAUAUUUAUUUCCAUGGUUUUCUAGGGAUAAUCAUGUUACAAUGAAGAAUCUGUAACAGCGCAGGAGUAAUAACCAAUACUGAACAGUCGUACCAAUGUAGUUAUAGGAAAGGGUGUGAGCUGGGGUUUUUUUGAUGUUAUCAUGCCAGCAAAAAUUUUGGCAUACAUGAAGUGCUUUAAAAGCUGCUUUUAAAGACUUCAAGAGACUUGUGUUUCCUUCAUGGGAAUUAGCUGUAGCAGUGUAAAAAAAUUCAUACAGAUCCCUAUCUACAUUAUGCAAACUUUUUUUAGUUCUCAUUAAAUCAUUAUAAAGCAGCAGUUUGUUUGUUUGUUUAAAUAAAGAGACAUGCCCUAAAUGAGGCACGCUUUUUACAUCGGAAUUGUUUGAAUGCAUUUUCUUUCAGCAGAAAAAAAUAGGUGAAAAUUAAAUUAAUCUGAAAAGGGAGCUUUUAGGAGAAUUGCUUCUAACUGUGGGUGAUAGCAUACAUGUAAUUAGGAAAAGGUUAAAAACGAAGAGGUAAGGAAGCAUUGACAUUAGAGAUGCCAUAUAUGGACUCAAAGCUUUUGACACUCAAUACAAGGUACACUACUGCAAAACACAGAAGCAAUUUCAUAGCCUUAAAAGCACUGCUAAAAGAUAACCAACUUUCAGCAAGCAAAAAAAUCAAAGUCAUUACUGAUCAUACGUGCCCUUCAGACGAAAGCCUUUCCAGACACUGAUCAAAUAUUAAACAGAAGAAGAGUCAGAAUUGGCCAAUAGUAAAAUAUGUAAUAGAAAAUUCAGAGACUUAAAACUUAAUGCUUUUAAAACCUGAUCAAGAAGGGAAAAGGUGUUAAAAAACUGCAGUCCCUAAUAAACUGUUUGUCCUGGUUUUGUUAAAAACAAGUUUCUCUUUCAGUGAAUUUUGCCUGUCAGCUAAAGCCUUCAUAUUAACUGCAUUUUCCUGGAGCACCAGACACAUGUUUUGGUAAACCUAGCAAUGGAAUGCAAACUUAUUGAUAAGCACAGAUGGACAUCUCGCGAGAGGGGCGAGGAGAAGCAAGUGACCAAGAAACUGACCAACUGUGUAUAACAUUCCAUUCACGUGAGUACUUCAUAUAAAAGUGGGAGAUCACGAGGAUCUCGUUCGCUUUUCCCUUUUUGCCCUUUUUGCCCUUCUGCUUAUGGCUGACAUUAGAAGAGGACCUUGCUAGUCGUCCCUGCGAACUGAGACCUGGUGAGAGACUGAAUCCAGCUCCGCUUGGCUGCAGAGUCCAGUCCAGGACUUCAGGUGCCGGCUCUGCAGUUGCUGAGACUUUCAAGAUUGGUUUUGUAUAUUUUGUAUUAUUUUCUCUAUUCUUAUUAGUAGCAUUAGUAAAACAUCUUUAAUUUUUUCCAACUCUCUUCACUCUGUGGUUCUUUUCCUCCCAAUCGCCUCUCCUUAGUGAAAAGGGGGGAGAGGGAGGGGGAAGUGUGGGGGGGGAGAGGGGGUUAACAAUACAUCUGCCAGGGUUUUAUUGUCACCCCGCAAUCUUAACCCUCGACACUGUUCAAAAAUAGUUAAAAUGUUUCUCCUUCUCUGAAGGAAGGAACUUCAUAUAUUAAAUGAGGAAAAUACAAAUUAAUGUGUUAAUUUGAAAAGCUGAAUCCUCGUUCCCUAAGUUAAGUAGGUAUGCAGACAUAGCCAACCUUAUUUAAGUCAUAAGAAUAAUAAUUAGGGUUGCUCUUCAGGAAAGCUCUUAAUCACAUGCUUACAGAAGUCGAUAGCUUGGAAUACCUGUCUAAGUGCUUUCCUGAAAUGGGCCUUACUACGUGAAUGUUAACAUAUGAUGAUCAUAUGGAAACUAUCUGAAUAAUUUCAUGCCUAUUUAUAAUCUAGACAAACAUGAACUCUCAUUUCUUACUCAGUUGUCACAUGUAAAGGAUUUCAUUUAACUAUGGGGUUCCUGAUAAUAGUUGCAUUUGUGUCAAAAAGCUUAUGAAAUCUCAUUCACUACAUGUGACCACUUAGAAAACCUGUUUAAAAAGUGCUAUACAAGCCAGAAUAAUAUUAGACCAUCUUCUUUGAAUGAAAAGUAGCUAUUGGGAAAAAAAUUAAAAAUCCUCUUGUAGUGAACACAGACUAGUUAAUACCACCUACGAUCAAACAAACAAAAACCAGAGCUGUUUCGACAUUUCAGAGUCUCAUAAAAAUUCUCCUGGCAGAUGCAAAAGGUAACAUUUGUUAUGUUUACAUUGAUGAAAUAAUAAUUUUCCUUUAGGACCUGGAUCAGCAUUUAGCAAAUAUAAAAGGAAAAUGCUAUAAGAAUAUAGAUUAAAUAAUCUGUAGCAUAUUUUGUCAAGAACAAAUUUGCUAUGGACCAAGUAACUUGUUUUUGUUUGCAGGAUUCCCAUGCCCUGAAAUACGAAGCAAAUCCAGCAGUCUUGGUUUUACAAAUGGGUAUCAUCUGUAUCCUCUAGCUGUCUGCCUUUGAAGAGCCUCCUAAUAACGCUGUAGGGCAGGGACAGAAAAAACACCAGAUAGAUAGAUGAGUGUAGAACAUUUCUAAAAACUCUUUAAAACCGUCCAAUUAAUAAUAUUGUGAAUAAGACCUGCUUGUUUAAAGCCUACUUGUAUAAAUGCUACCUAAAGGCAAAUUUAUCAGACUUGUGAGAAUUUUGUUCCAAUAUCCUGAUCCGAGAAAAUGUUUUUCCCCAUACUGACCUGGUAACACUACAGAAUAUGGUAGUACCACAAAUAAAAUCCAUCUAGAAAUUU